GAGUGCCACACCAUGUGUUGGCUGUCCGCAUGUAUAAAUCACAUGUGUUAGCAAGGGCCGGGCAAAACCGGUGCCAGCCGCCGCGGUAACACCGGCGGCCCGAGUGGUGGCCAUUAUUAUUGGGUCUAAAGGGUCCGUACCCGGUUUGAUCAUUCUUCCGGGAAAUCUGACAGCUCAACUGUUAGGCUUCGGGGGGAUACGGUCAAACUUGGAACCGGGAGAGGUAAAAGGUACUACAGGGGUAGGAGUGAAAUCUUGUAAUCCUUGUGGGACCACCAUUGGCGAAGGCGUCUUACCAAAACGGGUUCAACGGUGAGGGACAAAAGCUGGGGGCACGAACCGGAUUAAAUACCCGGGUAGUCCCACCCGUAAACAAUGCUCGCUAGGUGUCUGGAACGGUGCAACCGUUUCAGGUGCCGCAGGGAACCCGUGAACCGAGCCACCUGGAAAGUACGGCCGCAAGGCUGAAACUUAAAGGAAUUGGCGGGGGACCAC
rnacentral:rRNA from 1 species